rnacentral:tRNA from 1 species
GGGAAACAGAGGCAAACAUCACUUCCCUAACUGAAAAUCGUGGUGUCCCGGGUUCGAAUCCCGGUCCCGCCA